GCCGAAAUAGCUAAGUUGGGAGAGCGUUAGACUGAAGAUCUAAAGGUGGUUCGAUCCCGGGUUUCGGCA